rnacentral:rRNA from 1 species
GCACAAGCGGUGGAUGAUGUGGUUUAAUUCGAUGCAACGCGAAAACCUUACCCACCUUUGACAUGGCAGGAAUCCCGAAGAGAUUUGGAGUGCUCGAAAGAGAACCUGCACACAGGUGCUGCAUGGCUGUCGUCAGCUCGUGUCGUGAGAUGUUGGGUUAAGUCCCGCAACGAGCGCAACCCUUGCCAUUAGUUGCUACGAAAGGGCACUCUAAUGGGACUGCCGGUGACAAACCGGAGGAAGGUGGGGAUGACGUCAAGUCCUCAUGGCCCUUAUAGGUGGGGCUACACACGUCAUACAAUGGCCGGUACAGAGGGUAGCCAACCCGCGAGGGGGAGCCAAUCCCACAAAGCCGGUCGUAGUCCGGAUCGCAGUCUGCAACUCGACUGCGUGAAGUCGGAAUCGCUAGUAAUCGCGGAUCGGCAUGUCGCGGUGAAUACGUUCCCGGGUCUU